rnacentral:rRNA from 1 species
AUGGCGGGCAAGUCCAAGGGUGCGAGGAACAAGGCCAAGGCGCAGGCCGCCAGCCAGGAGGCCGUCUCGGUGGAGCCGGUCGCUGAUGUGGUGGAGGAGGCCAAGCCCCAGAACGGGGAAGUGACUGAGGCCCCUGCUGCCGAGGUCGCCCCUGCUGCUGAGGUCGCUGCCGCGGACGUGGAGAAGGAGGAGGGGGAUGCGGCCGAGGCCGCACAGGCUGCAGAGAAGCCAGCUGAAGGAGAGCUUCAUCUAUACCCUGUUUCUGUUAAGACGCAAUCAGGUGAAAAGCUGGAGCUGCAGCUAAGCCCUGGAGAUUCUGUCAUUGAUGUCAAACAAUUCCUCUUGGACGCUCCUGAAACUUGCUUCUACACAUGCUAUGAUUUGAUAUUGCAUACGAAAGAUGGUUCAACACACCAGUUAGAGGACUACAAUGAAAUUUCUGAGAUUGCAGAUAUAACUGCUGGUGGCUGUUCGUUGGAGAUGGUUGCUGCAACAUAUGAUGAGAGGUCUAUUAGGUCGCAUCUCCGCCGUGUCCGGGAAUUGCUCUCUCUUUCUAGUCUUCAUGUCUCACUAUCGACAUCCCUAGCUCUGCAGCAGGAGUCUGCACAGGCGAAAAAUGCAGAUGCAGGAAAAACUGCUCACCAGGAGCUUGAUGGUUUGAAUUUCAUGGAGGAUACUACUGUAGCUCUUACUAAUUUGCUGGCAUCUGCACCAGCAGAAAUCAAAUGUGUGGACAGCAUAGUUUUUUCAUCAUUCAAUCCUCCACCAAGUUAUAGGAGGUUACAUGGGGAUCUCAUCUAUAUUGAUGUUGUGACAUUAGAAGGAAGCAAACACUGCAUCACGGGGAGCUCCAAAUCUUUUUAUGUGAACGCUAGCAAUGGAAGUGUUUUGGAUUCAAGACCUUUGAAACAAUCUCACGAAGCCAGCACUUUAGUUGGCCUGCUACAAAAAAUUAGCGCCAAGUUUAAGAAAGGCUUUCGCGAAAUAUUGGACCGCAAAGCAUCGGCCCAUCCUUUUGAGAAUGUUCAGGCCUUGCUUCCAGUGACUUCUUGGUUGGGAGCUCACCCCGUGCCAGAACAUAGAAGAGAUGCAGCCAGGGCUGAGGAUUCUGUUGUGCUGUCAUAUGGUACCGAGUUGAUUGGGAUGCAGAGAGACUGGAAUGAGGAACUGCAGUCAUGCCGAGAGUUUCCUCAUGCCAAUCCUCAAGAAAGAAUAUUGCGAGGCAGAGCACUCUAUAAAGUGACAUGUGAUUUUGUUGAUGCUGCUGUAAAAGGAGCAGUCGGUGUCAUCAAUAGAUGUAUACCUCCAAUCAAUCCAACUGAUCCAGAAUGUUUCCAUAUGUAUGUCCACAACAACAUUUUCUUCAGUUUUGCGGUUGACUCUGACUAUGAGCAAAUCUCAAAGGACCAAAAGCCAGAUUGCCAAAAUGGUUCUAGCAGGAGUACGCCAGUCCCCUCCCCAGGUUUGGGUGCCAAGGCAGAUUCUGGAGUAGCACCAGAUUCAAAAACUGAAGAGGCAAACAGUGUUUUGGAAGGACCUACAGAGGCACAAAUAGCAGACAGUGAGCAGGCGACCUAUGCUUCUGCUAAUAAUGACUUGAAAGGAACGAAAUCUUACCAAGAAGCUGAUAUUUCGGGGCUUUAUAAUCUUGCCAUGGCAAUAAUUGAUUACAGAGGUCACAGGGUUGUAGCUCAGAGUAUCAUACCUGGUAUUCUUCAAGGAGACAAGUCUGACUCCCUUCUGUAUGGUUCUGUUGAUAAUGGCAAGAAGAUAUCUUGGAACGAGUCAUUCCAUGCAAAGGUAGUUGAGGCUGCAAAGCGUCUCCAUGUGAAGGAGCAUGUGGUUUUGGAUGGUUCUGGCAAUCCUGUAAAAUUAGCUGCUACAGUUGAAUGCAAGGGAAUCGUUGGUAGUGAUGACAGGCAUUAUAUUUUGGAUCUGAUGAGAGUGACUCCUCGAGAUUCUAACUACAUUGGACUGCAGCACCGUUUCUGUGUGUUGAGACCUGAGCUUGUAGCCUCAUUUGUCGAGGCUGAAUCCAUAAAGAAAUCCCCUACGCAGAAAGUUCCGGAUGUUCCCACAGAAUUGAAUGGGCAAGAAUCUGAUGACAUUGCCAGUGGUUCUGAUGCUACGGCUGCUUCUGUGGAGGAACAUGACAAGUCUGAUGAAACCCCUGUUUCUACACCUGCUGAAAGUAAUGACUCGACUGCUGAAAUUCUUUUCAAUCCAAAUGUAUUUACGGAGUACAAGCUUGCUGGCAGUCCUGAGGAGAUUGAAGCAGAUGAAGCUUUGGUUAAAAAGGUUGGUUCGUAUCUGUUAGAUACGGUGAUCCCAAAGUUUGUUCAGGAUCUUUGCUCUCUUGAUGUCUCCCCUAUGGACGGUCAAACUUUAACUGAUGUGCUGCAUAGCAAUGGGAUAAAUGUUAGGUAUCUAGGCAAAGUUGCAGGCUUGAUCAAGCAUUUGCCACAUCUGUGGGACUUAUUUUCGGCUGAGAUAAUUGUUAGGUCUGCGAAGCAUGUUGUCAAGGACAUACUGAGGCAAAGCCCGGACCAUAAUAUUGCACCUGCUGUUGCUCAUUUCUUGAAUUGUUUCUUUGGCAAAGUUUUGGCUGCUUCAACAAAAGGUAGUACUGGCAGCCCGCAGUCGAAAACCCAGAAGAAAUCAAGUCAAUCAGCUUCUUCAAAAAAGGGUCAAUCUGCAUUUUCCCAGCUAACAUCUGACGGAGUUUGGUCUGACAUUAAGGAGUUCGCGAAACAUAAAUACCAGUUUGAAGCGCCGGAUGAUGUGAGGGUUGGGGCUAAAAGAGUUGCAGUUCUCCGCAAUCUUUGCCAAAAGGUGGGAAUAACAAUUGCUGCUCGCAAAUACGAUCUGCAUUCUACUACUCCAUUCCAACCUUCAGAUAUCUUGAAUCUCCAACCAGUCGUUAAGCACUCAGUUCCUACCUGUACUGAUGCAAGGAAGCUUAUGGAAGCUGGGAAAAUCCGGAUGGCUGAGGGAACUCUAAAUGAGGCGUGUGCACUAUUUUCUGAAGCUUUUUCUCUACUUCAACAGAUCAAUGGUCCCAUGCACAAGGAUGCUGCGAACUGUUGCCGGUACCUUGCUAUGGUUUUGUACCAUGCCGGCGACACAGCAGGAGCAAUUGUGCAGCAACAUAGAGAGCUUAUCAUAAAUGAGCGAUGCCUUGGUCUAGACCAUCCUGAUACAGCCCACAGCUACGGUAACAUGGCUUUGUUCUAUCAUGGGCUCAAUCAAACCGAACUUGCGCUGCGACACAUGUCCCGUACACUGCUGUUGCUGAGUUUAGCAUCUGGUCCUGAUCAUCCGGAUGUUGCAGCAACUCUUAUAAAUGUGGCGAUGAUGUACCAGGAUGCGAGCAAUAUGAGUACUGCUCUUAGGUAUCUUCAAGAAGCACUUAAGAAGAACGAGCGCCUUUUAGGUCCAGGUCAUAUUCAAACAGCAGUUUGCUAUCAUGCUCUCGCCAUUGCAUUCAGCUGUAUGGGUGCAUACAAGCUUUCAGUUCAGCAUGAAACCAAGACACAUGAUAUACUGGUCAAACAGUUAGGUAGUGAUGAUUCACGAACAAAAGAUUCAGAAAAUUGGUUGAAUACAUUUAAGGGGCGAGAACAGCAGGUUAUUGCGCAGAAGCAAAAAGGCCAGGGAACUGUCCCCUCUGCUAACGCUGUUGAAUUCUUGAAGGCUCAUCCUGGAUUGUUCCAAGCAAUGAAGGCAGCUGCGAUCCAAUCUGGUGGCGAUGGACCAGCAAAUGUCAACAGAGUAAGAGGAGGUGACGAGCGCGCUGCCAAGGCGGCCGCAGAAGCCCGAAAAACGGCUGUUGCCAGGGGUGUUAAUCUCCGCAACGGGCCUGCUGCGAGCGUUUCUGACAUCAAUCAAAUUCUCAACCUCAUCAACUCUGCUGCUUCCGCGUCUGCUGCUUCUUCUGGCAAUGCUCAGGCAACUGAAUCUGAAGUGCCGCAGUCCAACGGUCCUGCCCUGAAUGGCGCAAAGGAGGCCAAGGAUACAAGCCGUCCGUCGGCCAAGGCUGACGGUCAAGCCCCAGUAGGAUUAGGUGCGUCAUUGGAGCUGAAGAAGCAGAAGUCCAAGCAGAAGGCAUAG